ensembl:lncRNA
GAAAGAGUGAGUGCCAGACAAACUAAGGUCAGCAGUGGUAGACCCUAGAGACAGAGGUGCUGGAGGAAGACCAGAAAAGCUGUGCCAACUGGAGAACAAUAAAAGGCUACCAGAAGCAGAUGCCAUUGGCCAACCACCACCUGCCAUGUUCUUGUCAUUUCCCCUGUGCUACAACUUGCCAGGUGGUCCCCAAGCUAUGAAACAUACAUUAGGGUAUUCAGAUAUUUCAUACAUCUCUUCAGGCUUGCUGUAAAUGUUAUGUGACCAGCCAGUCCUUUGUUCUUAUACUGAAGAGUUAAAUUUCAAAAAGUUAGUCUCAAACAAAGUCCAGACAUGCCUGAGAGAAUUUGAGAUAGGGCUUACCGGCCCGACUAUCAGCUCCCAAGGACACUGGCCAUCUGGAGCCACCCCCUCCCCUUCCUUCACUCCCUGAGGAUGGGUCAUCCCCCUGCUGCAGUGAGAUGAGUUGCCCUGCCCACAUUGCUGAGAUGCUAGAUUACACGUAUGCUUUGUUGAUGUAACUCCGUGCCAAAAGUAACUGUGCACCCUUUGUAUUAGCCAAUUAUGUGUAUCCACACGAACCCCCGGUUUUCCCUAUAUAAGCUCCUGCCUAGAGAGGCUCGGGGCUUGACUCAAUCUCCUGUGUGGGAUACGUGUCAGCCCGAGAUCUCGUAAAUAAAACUGCCUCUUGCUGAUUACAUCAAGACCGGCUACUCAUGUUUCCUGGGGGUACCCCAACCCGUGACUGGAGCGAGAGUCUCCCCAAGUUUGGGGGUCUUUCAUUGGGGGCUCGUCCAGGAUAGGAGCGUGACCCCCGGAGACUCGAAUGCCUCUUGGAGGUACGUUGGUGUGAGUGUUGAAAGCGGCUGCUGUGUGUGUGUGUGUGUGUGUGUGUGUGUGUGUGUUGUGUAUCACGCACUGUAUAUUGUGCCAUGGUCUAGGUUUAAUUUGAGUGCGCUCGGGUGGAUGGGCUUCCCACCCCGUAUUUGAGUGCACCCCGUUUUUGAGUGCACUUGGGCGGAUGGGUUUCCCUGCCCCGGACAGAUGCCUGUGAGUAGGUACUGGGUUCCUACUCCGAAUAGCCGUUUUCUUUUUGUUUUCUGUUUUUAGAUAGCAGAAGUGGGAACGCCCCAGCUCUGGGAGACGUUCCAAGAGCCGAAUAUUGUCGGGAGAACCUGGCAACUGACAGUCGAAAAGAUCUGACUGUGACUUGACUUUGGAGGUCCCGUUCGGCUGCCUAUUUAAGUAUAGGCACGGACAAGUGUGCUUAGAUGUGUUAGUGUCUGUUGUCUGUAUUCUGUUUCUGUGUUUGGUAUCCCAGAAGCAGCUAAGGUUAAGCUGCAGUUUGGACCAGGUACUGAAGGUACCAGGCAUCUGUGGAAAUUGGUUAUAGGAUGCUUUGUCUUGGUCUUGUUUGUCUGGUUUGUUUUCUGUGGUAUUGUCCAGUGUCUUUUUGGCUUUUGUUUCGUUUUUGGACUUGGACUGACAACUGUGUUUGAAAUCUUGGACUGACAACUGUGUUUGAAAUCAUGAAACUGUUUGCUUUGUUUGUCAAGGAGUUUUACUUGGUCCUCUUGGUGCUUAACUUAAAAGUUAAAAAUAAUUUGCUUGAGAGAAAUUGUUUUCUGCCGGGGAGUUUUAUCUUUCUCUCUUGAGCCUCCUCCCCAAGGAGAGCUGCCCCUCUCUUUACUCCCAUUGUCCAGCCCAGCUGCUGUUAACCGUUGUGUAUGAAGGACUCCCGGUUAGCGAGUGAUCCGUCUGAAACAGGCAUUAACAAGAACCUGAAAGCUUUACCUUAGAUCCUGAAGAAAAAUUCUCCCUGUUGCUUAAACAUUCACAGCUUCUAAGGAAGGGACAGCACAGAGUAGAAAAAUGUAGGGGCUGAGGGUGGCAAGCAUGCAGGCCUGCUAGCAAGCUACAGGCUGCGCAUGGGCAGCAGCGCAGCUCUGGCCAAGUCAGCGUAAGAGGAGUUUCAAGAUCUACGCCCGAUAUUCACACACUGGCGGCAUAGGCGCAGACAGCAGAGAGGACAAAGGACCAGAGUGGCAAGCAAUCCAGUUGUGCUGAGUUCCUUGUCAUAAAGAAAGCCUUACUUACCCAAUCUGAGCAGCAUGACGCUUAGGUUGCUCACAGAACAGAAACCAUCUUUUGCUGUUUCUGGGAUUGUUGAAGUAAGCUAUCAACAUCAUCAGAGACCCAUGACCUUUCUCUCCUUUUUGUUGCAUACUGUCUGGGUGUUAGGAAACCACCCAUCUUUUCCUAAACAGCUACACUGACGGUACAAGGAAGGUUUAGUUCAAUGUAUAUUUUGAGGAGCAAAAUACUUGCCAGAAGUUUGUUAAGCUAAUGUCCAUAUAAGUCUCACUGUCAGGAAACAGACCAAAGCCCUUCCUGAACUAAUGGCCAGUGAAGAAAACUGACAUGUGCAGCUGCAUCCCCAGACAUCAGAGAAGAACUCUACUGCUGCUCCUGUUGUCACUUUAACAGUCUGAGAAUCACAAAUCAAGAGACACAGAAAUUUGUUGUGUAGGAAAUAAGCAGGAUUUACUCUCAACAAAAAUACCUUCAGGGUACAUUCACUCUGAUGCCCCAGGGAAACCACCAACAUAAACACUAAGCCAAGUCAGAUGGUCCUUCUUUUGAGAAACUGUUACUCAAACAGUGAGUAGCUGGUCACCUGUUAUUAUCAGAUGAAAAGGCAAACCACUGGUUCACAGCCCUCAUUAUUGUCUAUACAUGUCACUUAUACACAGAACAUAUCUUCUUCCUUUCAAACGCUGUCAUUAAAUCUUCUCAAAGUCAACUAUCACAGUUCUGAAUGCUACUGGCCAUGGUAUACACAGGACAUAUGCCGGGUCUUAAGAUAAAAGAACAAUUGUUUUUGUGCAUAUGCCUACGGUUUUUCCCAGGAUUUUUUUUACAAUUGUUAGUUAACUGAGAUGGAAUUGAUUUAUAAGAAAAUGAUUUAUUUCACUCAUGGUUUUGAAGAUUGAGAAUCCAAAGGGCAUGGUGGAGGCUCUGGUCUUAUUAAAGAUGGACACUGGAAGAACAUCGAAGGCUCCCUUCUCAAACCAGGAAGCAGACAGCACAAAGAGCUGGUUCUGUUGCUUGCUUCAGCAACGUCCUCCAAAUAGAACCACAAAAGGGUCAUAUAAGAACCACUCUUGUCCCUUUUGAAAGCCCAGACCCAAGGACCUUCUGCCAGGUGGUAACAUAUCUCUUAAAGGUGUUACUUCAUCUCAUAAUACUAUCCCUUUGGGGUGAAAGUUUCUGAAUACUUAGACUGUCAGGAAGCAUGUAAACCAGGCCCAAGUCAUAGCAAUGUGACCCAGAAGGACAUAAAUAAACCCAGGGGACAGAAGAGGGAAGAAAAGAGAUGGAAAGUAAAUUGUGUAAGAAGGGUAUAAUGCAAUGUGUAAGGAGUAAAAAGUAUGGCAGAAGAUGAAACGUAGAACAGCAUGAUUCUGUCCUUAAAUUUGGAGUGUGUGCUUUGACAUCUUCAGGGGUGUAUCCAAAGGUACAAUGUUCAGAAUCCACUGUGUCAAGACCCAACAUCCUGGACACAAUCCAGGAGCAUCCCUUAAAUAAUCUCUCUCUCUCUCUCUCUCUCUCUCUCUCUCUCUCUCUCUCUCUCUCUCUCCACUGCUGUGCUGAGAAGUCACCAGUACUUUUAACAAGUGCAAAUGUGGAGAGGGGCAGUCCUCCUGGCUCUCCUGCAGGCUACCAUAGAAGAGCACAAACUUCGAGGUCACAUAAUGUCACAGAAGCCACCUGAGAUGGAUGUCAUCAGAAGAAACUGUAGAGUCACUAAGCCACCAGGUUGAGCUGUUAUCAACAAAGCCCAUAGGCACUGUGUUUCCUACAAAUACCUUGGUUCUCCAAGGAAGGGCAAUCUCACUUGGCUUAGUGUUUAUCGCAUUGGACAUCAUUUUCCACCAAAACAGGCUGAGCAGAACAUCCCCUGAAACCCCUUUGCACAGAAUGGUUAUUUCCUUGGAGGGGGAGACAGAGCUUGGUCCCUGAGUCUCCAAAGUCACACAGCCAAGGUAAAGUGUAGCCAGGGUUUGGCGGUUUCUUGCAUUAGCAACAGCAUGUCUCUAAUUCUUGCCCAGUGUUAAAGUUGUACUGAUUCACUCCCCUAGAGAACAGGUGUGAUUCAGAAGGAUUGGAGGGGGAAAAUGGUACCUAAACACCUAAACUCGCUCUUAAAACUACACAUUUAAUCCAGCAAAGACAAGGAGAAAUGUCUGGAGAAAAAGCAGGGCCACACUGAGCAGACACAUGGAUAAAAGUGGGAGGGGCAAGGUGCCUGGGAGAGCCAUCGUUAGUUCUGAAACAGCUGCGUUUAUUCACUUUGCUUUUUACCCAUCGGAUCAAUACCACAUAAACGUGAGAGAAUGGGAGACAAGAGGAAAAGGAGAGGGAGGUUAUGCAAAACUUGAGAUUUAAGCUGAAGUUCUAGAAACUGGAAACUUCUACAGCUGACGCAUGUAAACCUGGUGUGUCUUUGGGUAGCUAUUACAAGGCUGGAGGAUGUCAAAGACAGCUCUGGAACACCAUGGUUCUCUUCUGUUUGUUUUCUCUACCGUAAACUUAAGUACCAGACAGAAAAUUGCUUGAUAAUAAACAUGUAUUAUCACAAAAUAUAA